AGCAGAACUUCUUUUUUAAAGGGGAGUAUCAGUCUGUGGCACAGGAUCACACUAUUCAAUCCUUCUAUUGGCCUGAAAAUGGAGCCCUUUCUGUCUCUUGUGCUGUCUCCUGUGGUGGAAUCGCCCAUCAUCACUCCCCACACUUUCUUUGAAUUAGACAGGAUUUUUAAAAAGAGCAGAAAGACUCGGUGCCCUGGAGAGAAAGACCCAUCCCAGUUCACAAAGAGUUGACCAGACUAGCCAGAGAGACUUCUGGCUGCCUGGACAGAGAAGAGAGCUAUAUCAAUAAAUCCUUUACCUAAUCACCCUGCUGUUAGCAACAAGUGUCAAUAGAUCCAGAGGACUGCUGCUUAUGGCUUCAGAGUAACUUCAAGAUAGCACACGUUAUAGAAAGCAACUUUACUCCCUUGCAAGACCAAGUCCUGUCCUGCUAAAUUGUAUCCCCUUCUCUUCCAUAAGACUCCCCUAAUUGCUACCUAAAUGUUUGGCUAUGGGUCUUUGCAUCUGUUUCCAUCAGCUGCUGGGUGAAGCUUCUCAGAUGACAUCUACCUAGGUUCCUGUCUGCAAGCACAGCAGAGGAUCAUUAAUAGUGUCCGUGGUUGGCUCUCUUCCAUGGGGUGGGUCUCAAGUUGGGCCAGUCAUUAGAUGGCUGUUCCCUCAGUCUCUGCUCCAUCUUUAACCCGUGUGCAUCUUGUAGGUUGAAGGUUUUGUGGGUCUGUUGAUGUUCCCCUCCCUCUACUAGAAGUUCCCCUGGCGAUGGGCACUUCAGUUUUCAAAUCCUCAGCUGCUAGGAUGCUAGGAACCUCCGGUAGAAUCACCCCCAUAGAUGCCUGGCAGCCUGCUCCAUCCCAGGUCUCAGACUCCUCUCAGAGAUGUGCCCCCCCAUUUUUCGUUCUCUCUCCCAGCUCUCCCCUCACAUAUGAUCCCCACUCCACAUAUGAGCUCCUCACUCCACACAUAUGAUCCCCACUCCAGUUUCUCUCCCCAACCCAUCUUCCAUCCAGUUCUCUCCCUCCAUCCAUCUCUAAUGUUUAUUCCAUUUCCCUAUCUGAGUAAGAUUCAAGAAUCCUAACUUGGACCCCCAUUGUUAGCUACUUUGGGUUUGUGGAUUAUAGCAUCAUUUUCCUGUACUUUAUGGCUAAUAUACACCUAUAAUUGAGUACAUACUAAUUGUGUCUUCUUGAAUCUGGGUUACCCCAGUCAAGAUAUUUUCUAGUUAUACCCAUUUACCUGCAAAUUUCAUGGUGUCUUUGUUUUCAAUAGCUGAAUAGUACUCCAUUAUGUAAAUCCACAAUGGAAGAAUAUCCAUUCUUCAGUUGAGGGACAUCUAAGUUGUUUCUAGUUUCUGGCUAUUAUGGAUAAAACUGCUAUGAACGUAUCUGAGCAAGUGUCCUUGUGGGAUAGUGGAGCUUCUUUUGGAUAUAUGCCCAGGAGUGGAAUACCUGGGUCUUCAGGUAGAUCGAUUCCCAAUUUUUGAGAAACCAUCAAACAGUUCCAUUCCUCCUCCUCAUCCCAUUCCUCCUCCCCUUGUCUCCAAGAAGAUAUCCUUUCCUGCCCUAUCCCACCAGGCCUCCCCAACUCCCUGGGGCCUCAAGUCUUUUGAGGGUUAGAUGUCUCUUCUCCCACUGAGCCUAGACCAGGCAGUCCUCUGCUGUAUAUGUAUCUGGAGCAUAGGACCAGCUGGUGUAUGCAGCCUGGUUGGUGGCUCAGUGUCUGAGAGAUCUCGGGGGUCCAGGUUAGUUGAGACUGCUGGUCUUCAUAUGGGGUCACCCUCCUCCUCAGCUUCUUCUAGCCUUUCGCUAAUUCAACCACAGGAAUCCCAGACUUCAGUCUACUGGUUGGGUGUAAGUAUCUCCUUCUGUCUCAGCUGCUUGUUGGGCUUCUAGGAGGACAGACACUCUAGGCUCUGCUUUAAUAAUAUCAGCCUUGGAACCUUCUAUUGAGAUGGAUUGCUAGGCUCCUGUCUGUAAGCACACCAUGGCAUCAGUAAUAGUGUCAGGCCUUAGGGCCUCCCCAUGAGAUGGAUCCCAAGUUGGGCCUAUCACUGGACCACACUUUUCUCAGCCUUUUCUCCAUUUUUGUCCCUGCAGUUCUUUUAGACUGUAACAAUUUUGGGUCAGAGUUUUUGCCUGUGAUGCCCUGUCUUUCUACUAGAGGUAUACUCUACAAGUCUCCUCUCCCCACUGUUGGGCAUUUCAUCUAAUGUCCCUCCCUUUGAGUCCUGAUUGUCUCACCUCUCAGGUCUCUGGUACUUUCUAGAGGGUCCCCUCACCUCCCACCCAAUAAGUGGAUAUUAGCCCAGAAACUUAGGAUACCCAAGAUAUAAGAUACAAUUUGCUAAACGCAUGAAAUUCAAGAAGAAUGAAGACCGAAGUGUGGACACUUUGCCCCUUCUUAGAAAUGGGAACAAAACACCCAUGGAAGGAGUUACAGAGACAAAAUUUGGAGCUGUGACGAAAGGAUGGAUCAUCUAGUGAUUGUCAUAUGCAGGGAUCCAUCCCAUAAUCAGCUUCCAAACGCUGACACCAUUGCAUACACUAGCAAGAUUUUGUUGAAAGGACCCAGAUAUAGCUGUCUCUUGUGAGACUAUGCCGGCGCCUAGCAAACACAGAAGUGGAUGCUCACAGUCAGCUAUUGAAUGGACCACAGGGCCCCCAAUGGAGGACCUAGAGAAAUUACCCAAGGAGCUAAAGGGAACUGCAACCCUAUAGGUGGAACAACAAUAUGAACUAACCAGUACUCCGGAGCUCUUGUCUCUAGCUGCAUAUGUAUCAAAAGAUGGCCUAGUUGGCCAUCACUGGAAAGAGAGGCCCAUUGGACUUGCAAACUUUAUAUGCCCCAGUACAGGGGAACCCCAGGGCCAAAAAGGGGGAGUGGGUGGGUAUGGGGGACUUUUGGGAUAGCAUUGAAAAUGUAAAUGAGGAAAGUACCUAAUAAAAAAUUAAUU